UUUUCUCAGAUAGAUUGAUGAAAAUGCUCUUGAGCAUGCUCUUAGUGCUGCUGUAACAUGCACAAUAUUGUAACUGAUGAGAGGCAGCCACUGUUGCCAACUUGAAAUUAGUUUACUCAUUCAAGUUCUAGAAUUUCUUUAUAGCUUUCUGAGUUUACUUCGGUCUUCCAUGUAUUGGAUUUCUCUUUGUGCCCCUAUCUAUGUUCGUUUCUUGUGUGCAAGUGCUCCAUUCUAUGUGUGUGACUGUGUGUGACUUGAUGAAUAUGUGUGUGGCUUGACUCUCUGUGCGUGUGUGUGUAGUUUGACUUUGUGUGUGUGUGUAUAGCUUGACUGUGUGUGGCUUGAUGCCGAAUAUGUGUGUGGCUUGAUGGUGAAUAUGUGUGUGGCUUGACUCUGUGUGAGACUGUGUGUGGCUUGAUGCUGAAUAUGUGUGUGGCUUGACUCUGUGUGAGACUGUGUGUGGUUUGAUGCUGAAUAUGUGUGUGGCUUGACUGUGUGUGUGUGUGUGUGUGUGAUUUUGUGAAAAUUGCAUUUGUUUGACGGUGUGGCUUGUAUGCUUUGCUGAAUAUUUGGUUGUAUAACUUGUGUUUUAUGUCACGACUGAUUGCUUUGUUGUUUGUUGAAUGUGAACAGACCUAGCACUAUAUUUUUUCUAAACUUUUUGUGAUAUCAUAUCCUUUUUUGUACUAUUGCUGUCCAGGCAAUUGAAUAAUGCUUUUCUCUAAGUAUUUAAGGUACAAACAUUUGGAUCCGGACAUGUCACAUGGGCUCUUUAUUGUGUUUUUAAGGACACUGAUGGGUUUUGUUUGCAUGCAACACAGGUAUAUUUACGUUCUUUACAUUUUGCGAUGUUGAUGGCAAAAUGUUUAUUUAGUCAAAUUUUGCUACUUAUGGGUACUUUUGUUUUUAGAUGUGUUGUAUCCAUAACUACCUAUUGGCACCAGAUAUUUGUGCUCAAAAUGCAGUAUGGACCAACAAAAUGGUCUCAUUGCAAGGUCACUACCUGGACAUAUAGGCAAGCAAUGUCAAGA
rnacentral:lncRNA from 1 species